ensembl:lncRNA
AAAAUUCUUUUCCUUUGUCAUCAGACUGAGACAUUGGCAAGGUAAUACACACCACGAAAGAUUUUAAAAGGUAACCGUUAAACUAAUACUGUCUGAAAAGCACAUUAGAUUAGUAGACAAGUCAUUAGUUAUUUUUCAUGGGUAUGAUUUGGUACUAAAAUGCUGUUAAAUGUGUGGGAUUAGAGCCAAGCAGCAGAACAGAACAAGUGCAUACAGUAAUAAAAUACAAGAGAUGGAUAAAUUGAGUCACGGUGUUAUUAUAAGACACAAUCCAUUUGAUUUUCCUCAUUUAUCUUGGUAUAGUUAUAUUUUACUUGUGCUUGAAGUUGCACCACCAGUUACUGCAUACCUUUAAUACCUUACCUGUCUGGUGUAGCUGCAAUUCUACACCCAUUGCUUCUACGCGCAAUGUAUGGUUUAGGACUGACUUGCAGUCAAGACUUGCAUUCAGCUAGUGCAGCUGUUGAGAAUUGAGUCCAGAAUUAUUAUUAUUAUUAUUAUUAUUAUUAUUAUUAUUAUUAUUAUUAUGAAAUAAUCAUUGAUCUGUUUGGUUAUUUGCAUGAUUUGGUAAAUAUACGCUGACAGAAUGACUACCAAAACGCUGUUGUGAAUGCAAAUCAACCACAAAGAAAGUAGUAAGAAUAUGAAUAAAGAUCAGACGCUCGUAUCUAUUUUGUACAGUGGUGAGAAAAUCUCUAAAUGAGGUUUGAUUCCUGGCGGAAAUAUGUUGAUUGCUUUGUAUAAUACUUUGUCAGUGUUGCUGUAAACAGCUUGGGCACAUGGUUGUCGUUUUUUUCUUUUUGCCUAUUGAGUCCUUUUGUAUGUCAUUUACUGCGUCACUCUUGCUGUCGUUUGUUAACACGACACUAUGCCUAUUGUCUGGUUGUGCCGCUCUUCCUGUAGUCUUAUGUGCUGUCUAAAUUUACAAGCUUUCUUUGACUUGCUGGGACUGACAGAUGCUCAUUGAUUUCACUAUAAACUGGUCUAAAUAUUUUCAAAAGCCAAGUCGGGUGUUGGUGUUGUUUAGAGUCAUUUUUAUGGAUGAGGCAAACGAAUGCACGGCUUUUACUUUGUCCGUUCGUCCUGUUUGUACCGUUUUGUAAAGACUUAGUCAGCGAAGCAGGCAAGAGGACGAAUGAGGAGAUAAAUAAAGAACAGGAUUAAUGUAACCGCCAGAUGAAAGGACACAUCUAACCAAGAUAGUUUGAAAAUGACUAACCAGAUACACAUCCAGGAUAAAUCCGUAGCCUGAGAGAACCAGCGGGAAAAGAGGAGGAAAAUAAACCCUUCUUCGAAUUUGUGUAUAAUAUGAUAUGCGAGAAAAUAAGGACUAUGGAUGCACAGUAAUCUCCACCCCGGGAAUUCAUAUAUUAUUUUAUUUCCUUUAGUUUCUGUUAAUGUCUGGAAUAUUUUGAACCCAGUCAGUGUUCAGGCAACUAUAAUAUUUGAGUGUCUGGGCAAGUACAGUGGACCUUCCAGGAAAUGGCUAGCUAGUAAAUGUGUAUCAUUUGUCCACUCCUGUGCAUCAGUAUUGUACAAUGCAGUCAACAUGUUUUUGGGAGUAAUCGGACCUCAGACCUUUCCCAUGAAAGAGGGGAAGGUGUCACUUUGAUCGCAGAAUCUUUCAGUGAUGAUGAUGAAGACCACCUUAAAUGUUAAAACGCACACGAACAAAUUACAUAUUAACCACAUACUCUGUGGGAAGCCGAGGGAAGCGUUUCAACAUGACCACAUGCAAUUUCAAAUGUGUUCUUAUGUAAAAAGGAUGCUCUUAGCAUGCGAGAUAAUGUGUUAUCCAAUACGAGAAUUCAAACUGGAAAAAAAAAUAAUAAAAAAAAACGUAUCACAUGCACGUAAGGCAGAUCAACUGUGAUUGGUCACCUGCAUCAGAAGUAUGUGCUUUGGCUGAUCGCUUCAUGUUGUCGUUUUUCUCUGUGUCAAACCAAUGAAGCCGAGCCUUUCCUGAGAAGCCAAACCUUUUCUUUUCUUUCUUUCUUUUUUUUUUUUUUAAAGAAAAGUGCAUGUUUAUGUGAAUCGGCUACCUCUGAGGGCUCGUGUCAUGAAAGCACUUUAUCACUGCUGAAGAUGUAUCUUUGAGCUACCAGCCUUUGAGCUGUACAUCAUUUUAAUUUUGUUUGUAGGGUUGUUUUCAGGUAGCCUUGUCACCAGCAGAAUACUGAUUUGAGUGUAUCACACCACUCAGUGUUGCUGUUUUACCUGCUUGUUUUGUCUAGGCAGAGUGAGGACUUUGUGUAUACAGAGAAACAAUGCGGUGUUGUUAAAACGUCUGGGGCGAGUGAGUGUGUGUAUGUGUGGCGGGCUGUUUGAUGUUUCAAGUGUACAUGUACACCUUAAAAAGAGACAGAGAGAACCAUAACAACAGAGCAUCUGACUUUUCCCGACGUAUCUGAUGCUCCGCAGGUGACAACGCUGACGACAAUGAUGCUUGUUUUAGUUAGUUAGGUUUUUUUUUUUUUUUUUAAACUUCUUGUGCGGCUUCACAUUUCUGUACUUUAAAAAUUCUACAUGUUGGACUUUGUAAUGUGAUGAACUCCGCAUUUUAGUUAUUUUAUUUUCUGGAAUUGCACAAAAUGUCAAUUCUGUCACUGUUGAAAUAUGAAUAUUGUCUUGUACCGUAGCUAGUACCUAAAGAAGAAAACAAAACGUAGCAUCGAAGCAAUAAUUUCCCUGUUGUUUAUCUGCGUCUCUUCUCCUAUAGGUGUUUCUUUGAUGAAUUGUAUCCCUAACUGUCUAAUUGCUUAUGUUUGUGUAGGUAUUAUUGUCAAUUGUUUCACACAGAUAUAUAUAUAUAUAUAUAUAUAAACAAUAAUUCCUAAAACAUUUUUGUUGUUUUUGUUUCUUUAUUUUAUUUGUUUCUUUAUUGUCCUUUUGUGUCUUUAACAUCUUGUCC